rnacentral:rRNA from 1 species
AGCGAACGUUGGCGGCGCGCCUAACACAUGCAAGUCGAGCGCGAAAGGACUUCGGUCCGAGUAGAGCGGCGCACGGGUGAGUAACACGUGAGUAAUCUGCCUCUCAGCCUGGAAUAACAUUCCGAAAGGAGUGCUAAUGCUGGAUAAGACCACGUUCCCUUCGGGGAUGUGAGAAAAGGCGGGGUUCGCAAGGACCUGUCACUGAGAGAUGAGCUCGCGGCCUAUCAGCUUGUUGGCGGGGUAAUGGCCCACCAAGGCGAAGACGGGUAGCUGUUCUGAGAGGAUGAUCAGCCACACUGGAACUGAGACACGGUCCAGACUCCUACGGGAGGCAGCAGUGGGGAAUAUUGGACAAUGGGGGCAAGCCUGAUCCAGCCAUGCCGCGUGAGU